AACGAACGCUGGCGGCAGGCCUAACACAUGCAAGUCGAGCGCUCUCUUCGGAGGGAGCGGCGGACGGGUUAGUAACGCGUGGGAAUGUACCCUUCUCUGCGGAAUAGCCACUGGAAACGGUGAGUAAUACCGCAUACGCCCUUCGGGGGAAAGAUUUAUCGGAGAAGGAUCGGCCCGCGUUAGAUUAGAUAGUUGGUGGGUAACGGCCUACCAAGUCUACGAUCUAUAGCUGGUUUUAGAGGAUGAUCAGCAACACUGGGACUGAGACACGGCCCAGACUCCUACGGGAGGCAGCAGUGGGGAAUCUUAGACAAUGGGCGCAAGCCUGAUCUAGCCAUGCCGCGUGUGUGAUGAAGGUCUUAGGAUCGUAAAGCACUUUCGCCAGGGAUGAUAAUGACAGUACCUGGUAAAGAAACCCCGGCUAACUCCGUG
rnacentral:rRNA from 1 species